rnacentral:rRNA from 1 species
AGAGUGAACGCUGGCGGUAGGCCUAACACAUGCAAGUCGAACGGCAGCACAGUAAGAGCUUGCUCUUAUGGGUGGCGAGUGGCGGACGGGUGAGGAAUACAUCGGAAUCUACCUUUUCGUGGGGGAUAACGUAGGGAAACUUACGCUAAUACCGCAUAAGACCUUCGGGUGAAAGCCGGGGACCUUCGGGCCUGGCGCGGAUAGAUGAGCCGAUGUCGGAUUAGUCUUGGUUGGACGGGUAAAAGCCCACAAGACGACGAGUCCGUAGCUGGUCUGAGAGGAUAGAUCAGCCACACUGGAACUGACGACGACGUACCAGACCUCCGUACGGGAGCAGCGAGGUAGGGAA